rnacentral:rRNA from 1 species
CCUACGGGAGGCAGCAGUGAGGAAUAUUGGUCAAUGGACGGAAGUCUGAACCAGCCAAGCCGCGUGCAGGAAGACGGCCCUAUGAGUUGUAAACUUCUUUUGUCCGAGAGCAAACCCGAAUACGUGUAUUCGGAUGAAUGUACCGUACGAAUAAGGAUCGGCUAACUCCGUGCCAGCAGCCGCGGUAAUACGGAGGAUCCAAGCGUUAUCCCGAUUUAUUGGGUUUAAAGGGUGCGUAGGCGGUGUGAUAAGUUAGCGGUGAAAUGUCCGAGCUUAACUCCGGAACUGCCUUUGAAACUGGUGAUCUAGAGUGGGAGUGAGGUAGGCGGAAUGUGUGGUGUAGCGGUGAAAUGCAUAGAGAUCAUGCAGAACUCCGAUUGCGAAGGCAGCAUACCGGUCUAUAACUGACGUUGAGGCACGAAAGCGUGGGGAGCGAACAGGAUUAGAUACCCCAGUAGUC